CCUACGGGUGGCUGCAGUGAGGAAUAUUGGUCAAUGGACGAGAGUCUGAACCAGCCAAGUAGCGUGAAGGAUGACUGCCCUAUGGGUUGUAAACUUCUUUUAUAUGGGAAUAAAAUGUUCCACGGGUGGGAUUUUGUAUGUACCAUAUGAAUAAGGAUCGGCUAACUCCGUGCCAGCAGCCGCGGUAAUACGGAGGAUCCGAGCGUUAUCCGGAUUUAUUGGGGUUAAAGGGAGCGUAGGUGGAUUGUUAAGUCAGUUGUGAAAGUUUGCGGCUCAACCGUAAAAUUGCAGUUGCAACUGGCAGUCUUGAGUACAGUAGCGUUGGGCGGAUUUCGUGGUGUAGCGGUUACAUGCUUAGCUAUCCCG
rnacentral:rRNA from 1 species